GAAAUGGGCACAAUUAAACUAUUCAGGGCUCUAAAGUCCUGAACUAAGCGAUAUGCUGGCCAGUGGUGUUGGGAGUGGGUCUGGUGUUGUUCUUGCCUACCGGGCAUAUUUUGAGAAUUGUGGGGUUGUUGGGGUGUGUGGGGUUUCCUGGGGUGUGGACACUCAUUCCUCCAGUGGCCAUAUUGUCCACAGUUGAAACAAGUGUUCCUGUCUAUUCCUCCUUGGUUACCCCUGCCCCUAUAACCCUGAUUUCCCUGUCUCCAUCCCCUUGCCCCUCUUUGACCACCCCUUCCACGGGCUUUAUGUGCUCCAUCCCAUCCUCGCUCUCAGCCUGUGUAGGUGGCAAUCCCUGAGCAUAAUAAGCAACCUUACUUUCCUAAAUCUUUUCUUAAUUCAAAACAACCUGCAUUUUCCUUUUCUAUAACCUUGGUAAGAAAAUCUGAGCUAUCCAAAUUGGCCCAGUCUGAAAUCAAUUGUUUCACAAGCAAAUAAUACUGUGGCAACAUAUUACCAAGGCAUGACUGUAUUUUAAAGAUAUCUAUAUCAUCUCCAGACAUCAAACCUGCCUCAUCCUUCCAACACUUGUAAAAUUUCUUUACAAAAAUCAUAUUACCAAUCUCUUCCUUUGCAUCCUGCUUAUAUGCCAAAGCAGUGAAUAUAGACUGCUUAUUCUUCCAUAAUCCCAACAUUUCAGCUUCCACCUUGUUCCAAAUUUUAGCACAUCUUACUGAAGUACUAAGCUCAUAAUCACCAAUUCAUUUCAAACCAUAUAACUCAUACUCAGCAUCCCAUGUAAUAUUACACGUCAUCUCACAAAGCAAUAUCUUUGUAAAAACACAUAAUGGGUACCCAGCAGAUAUGCCAAUACAGAAAUCACAUUUAUGGGCACACAACUACACACUCUGUCUCCCUCCUAGGAAACACAGAUAGACACAAUAUAAAAGCAAUCUUAAACUAACACCUCCAAAUCUCCAACUAUUCUUGGCCAAAACGCUAGUAUUCAACAGCUAAUAAAACAGUUAUUUGCUAGGUUAUUUGGCUGUCAUUCUUAUCAGUAUCACUAGACUGUGACAAACUGAUUCACAUAUAAUUUAAAACAAUACAGCAACAUAAAUUAAACCACUUUCAAGUUAAACUGCACACUUAUCACACAUUAUCACAAUCACCAUUUACACAAAAUAAAGAGUUAACAGCUGUAUUCAGAACAUAUUAUUGGAAAGUAUACCAAUUUUAGUUUAGAUUUAUUUUAG